AUUGAACGCUGGCGGCAUGCCUUACACAUGCAAGUCGAACGGCAGCACGGGAGCAAUCCUGGUGGCGAGUGGCGAACGGGCGAGUAAAGUAUCGGAACGUGCCCGAUCGUGGGGGAUAACGCAGCGAAAGCUGCGCUAAUACCGCAUACGAUCUGAGGAUGAAAGCGGGGGACCGUAAGGCCUCGCGCGAUCGGAGCGGCCGAUGUCAGAUUAGGUAGUUGGUGGGGUAAAGGCCCACCAAGCCGACGAUCUGUAGCCGGUCUGAGAGGACGACCAGCCACACUGGGACUGAGACACGGCCCAGACUCCUACGGGAGGCAGCAGUGGGGAAUUUUGGACAAUGGGCGAAAGCCUGAUCCAGCAAUGCCGCGUGCAGGAAGAAGGCCUUCGGGUUGUAAACUGCUUUUGUACGGAGCGAAAAGGUCCUUUCUAAUACAAGGGGCUCAUGACGGUACCGUAAGAAUAAGCACCGGCUAACUACGUGCCAGCCGCCGCAGUAAUAC
rnacentral:rRNA from 1 species